GGUGAACGCUGGCGGUAGGCCUAACACAUGCAAGUCGAACGGCAGCACAGUAAGAGCUUGCUCUUACGGGUGGCGAGUGGCGGACGGGUGAGGAAUACAUCGGAAUCUACUUUUUCGUGGGGGAUAACGUAGGGAAACUUACGCUAAUACCGCAUACGACCUACGGGUGAAAGCAGGGGAUCUUCGGACCUUGCGCGAUUGAAUGAGCCGAUGUCGGAUUAGCUAGUUGGCGGGGUAAAGGCCCACCAAGGCGACGAUCCGUAGCUGGUCUGAGAGGAUGAUCAGCCACACUGGAACUGAGACACGGUCCAGACUCCUACGGGAGGCAGCAGUGGGGAAUAUUGGACAAUGGGCGCAAGCCUGAUCCAGCCAUACCGCGUAGGUGAAGAAGGCCUUCGGGUUGUAAAGCCCUUUUGUUGGGAAAGAAAAGCGGCAGGUUAAUACCCCGCUGUUCUGACGGUACCCAAAGAAUAAGCACCGGCUAACUUCGUG
rnacentral:rRNA from 1 species